rnacentral:rRNA from 1 species
UGUUUCGGCUAGGGGGCCAUCCCGGCUUACCAACCCGAUGCAAACUGCGAAUACCGGAGAAUGUUAUCACGGGAGACACACGGCGGGUGCUAACGUCCGUCGUGAAGAGGGAAACAACCCAGACCGCCAGCUAAGGUCCCAAAGUCAUGGUUAAGUGGGAAACGAUGUGGGAAGGCCCAGACAGCCAGGAUGUUGGCUUAGAAGCAGCCAUCAUUUAAAGAAAGCGUAAUAGCUCACUGGUCGAGUCGGCCUGCGCGGAAGAUGUAACGGGGCUAAACCAUGCACCGAAGCUGCGGCAGCGACACUGUGUGUUGUUGGGUAGGGGAGCGUUCUGUAAGCCUGUGAAGGUGUGUCGU